GACGAACGCUGGCGGCGUGCUUAACACAUGCAAGUCGAACGGAGUGGCGAACGGGUGAGUAACACGUGGGUGCUCUGCCUUGCACUUCGGGAUAAGCUUGGGAAACUGGGUAUCAUACCGGUUCGUGUAAGAUGAGCUCGCGGCCUAUCAGCUUGUUGGUGGGGUAAUGGCCUACCAAGGCGUCGACGGGUAGCCGGCCUGGGAGGGUGUACGGCCACCAUGGGACUGAGAUACGGCGCAGACGCCUACGUGAGGCAGCAGUGGAGAAUAUUGCACAAUGGGCGGAAGCCUGAUGCAGCGACGCCGCGUGGGGGAUGAAGGCCUUCGGGUUGUAAACUCCUUUCGACAGGGACGCGGUACCUGUAGAAGAAGCACCGGCUAACUACGUGCCAGCAGCCGCGGUAAUUC
rnacentral:rRNA from 1 species